rnacentral:rRNA from 1 species
UACGUAGGGUCCGAGCGUUGUCCGGAAUUACUGGGCGUAAAGAGCUCGUAGGUGGUUUGUCGCGUUGUUCGUGAAAACUCACAGCUUAACUGUGGGCGUGCGGGCGAUACGGGCAGACUUGAGUACUGCAGGGGAGACUGGAAGUUCCUGGUGUAGCGGUGGAAUGCGCAGAUAUCAGGAGGAACACCGGUGGCGAAGGCGGGUCUCUGGGCAGUAACUGACGCUGAGGAGCGAAAGCGUGGGGAGCGAACAGG